ncrna:Pseudoalteromonas translucida TAC125 TwoGGAY RNA
GUAAUAUCGCGCAUGGAUGCGCGAUAAGGCGAAACUAGGCCAUGGAUGGCCUAUCUUCGCCGUUUACGUUCACAUCAA